rnacentral:rRNA from 1 species
AACGAACGCUGGCGGCGUGCUUAACACAUGCAAGUCGUACGAGAAACAUGUCCUUCGGGGCAUGGAGUAAAGUGGCGCACGGGUGAGUAACACGUGGGUAACCUACCCUGAGGAUCGGGAUAACUGGCCGAAAGGCCCGCUAAUACCGGAUAAGACCACAUGGGCCCUGGCCCAAGAGGUCAAAGCCGGCCUCUCGACGAAGCCGACACCACAGGAUGGGCCCGCGGACCAUUAGCUAGUUGGUGAGGUAACGGCUCACCAAGGCCGAGAUGGUUAACUGGUCUGAGAGGAUGAUCAGCCACACUGGAACUGAGAUACGGUCCAGACUCCGACGGGAGGCAGCAGUGAGGAAUAUUGCGCAAUGGGGGAAACCCUGACGCAGCAACGCCGCGUGGGUGAAGAAGGCUUUCGGGUUGUAAAGCCCUGUCAGGCGGGAAGAAACCUCUGUAGUCGAAUAGGCUGCAGAACUGACGGUACCGCCAAAGGAAGCACCGGCUAACUCCGUGCCAGCCGCCGCAGUAA